ACGAACGCUGGCGGCGUGCCUAAUACAUGCAAGUCGAGCGGACCUUUCGGGGUCAGCGGCGGACGGGUGAGUAACACGUGGGCAAUCUGCCCGAUACUCUGGGAUAACGCUUGGAAACGAGUGCUAAUACCGGAUGGUCUUCUUGGUCGCAUGGCCGAGAAGGAAAAGACGCGUUCGCGUCGGUGUCGGAUGAGCCCGCGGCGCAUUAGCUAGUUGGUGAGGUAACGGCCCACCAAGGCGACGAUGCGUAGCCGACCUGAGAGGGUGACCGGCCACACUGGGACUGAGACACGGCCCAGACUCCUACGGGAGGCAGCAGUAGGGAAUCUUCCACAAUGGGCGAAAGCCUGAUGGAGCAACGCCGCGUGAGUGAUGAAGGCCUUCGGGUUGUAAAACUCUGUCAUUCGGGACGAACCGGAGUCUGAGGAAAUGCAGACUCUCUGACGGUACCGGAGGAGGAAGCCCCGGCUAACUACGUGCCAGCAGCCGCGGUAAUACGUAGGGGGCAAGCGUUGUCCGGAUUCACUGGGCGUAAAGCGCGCGCAGGCGGUGAUGUAAGUCUGAGGGUGAAAACCCGAAGCUCAACUUCGGGACUGCCUUGGAUACUGCGUCACUUGAGGAUAGGAGAGGCAAGGGGAAUUCCACGUGUAGCGGUGAAAUGCGUAGAGAUGUGGAGGAACACCUGUGGCGAAGGCGCCUUGCUGGCCUAUUUCUGACGCUGAGGCGCGAAAGCGUGGGGAGCAAACAGGAUUAGAUACCCUGGUAGUCCACGCUGUAAACGAUGAGUGCUAGGUGUAGGUGGGCUCAUACCCAUCUGUGCCGAAGCUAACGCAUUAAGCACUCCGCCUGGGGAGUACGGUCGCAAGACUGAAACUCAAAGGAAUUGACGGGGGCCCGCACAAGCAGUGGAGCAUGUGGUUUAAUUCGAAGCAACGCGAAGAACCUUACCAGGACUUGACAUCCCAUAGACCAGUCUAGAGAUAGACUUUCCCUUCGGGGCUGUGGUGACAGGUGGUGCAUGGUUGUCGUCAGCUCGUGUCGUGAGAUGUUGGGUUAAGUCCCGCAACGAGCGCAACCCUUACUUUGUGUUGCCAGCAUUCAGUUGGGCACUCACAAGGGACUGCCGCCGAUAAGGCGGAGGAAGGUGGGGAUGACGUCAAAUCAUCAUGCCCCUUAUGUCCUGGGCUACACACGUGCUACAAUGGGCGGUACAACGGGAUGCGAAGCCGCGAGGUGGAGCCAAACCCUGAAAACCGUUCGUAGUUCGGAUUGUAGGCUGCAACUCGCCUACAUGAAGCCGGAAUUGCUAGUAAUCGCGGAUCAGCAUGCCGCGGUGAAUCCGUUCCCGGGCCUUGUACACACCGCC
rnacentral:rRNA from 1 species